UACGGGGGGGGCAAGCGUUGUUCGGAAUUACUGGGCGUAAAGGGCUCGUAGGCGGCCAACUAAGUCGGAUGUGAAAUCCCCAGGCUUAACCUGGGAACUGCAUCCGAUACUGGAUGGCUUGAAUCCGGGAGAGGGAUGCGGAAUUCCAGGUGUAGCGAUGAAAUGCGUAGAUAUCUGGAGGAACACCGGUGGCGAAGGCGGCAUCCUGGACCGGCAUUGACGCUGAGGAGCGAAAGCCAGGGGAGCAAACGGG
rnacentral:rRNA from 1 species